AUCAUAAUUCAUAAAACGCUCAUAUCGAAGCAACCCCGCUACACCAACUUGACGGUUUGACUCAAAAUGGCUGAAGAGAAAACAGUAAUGGGGAUCGACGGUUUUGCAAGAUUUUUGCAGGAAAUUAGCCUUUCUGUAGAGUGAAGGCACUCCCGUCAUUUAACUGUGGACCCAGGUCACAGACAGUUCAUUGAAAAGAGUGGAGUCCAGCAAAAAGGGGACGUUCACCACCCAGGAAGAGGAGACGCAGUCACCCAGUAGUUGGUGGUGUGUGAUCCAGCCUGACUAAUGAAGAGCCUUCAGUUCCGGAGCAUUGCUCCAAAGGCCCCAGCUGUGGUGCCGUCCCCCUCCCCUGCAGUCCUGCCUGGUCAGUGUCCUUCUUCCCUUCCUGAGGCUACCACCGCCUCCAGCCCCAAAUCUGUCAUUGUGCCCACUCAAAAUUACACACUUAUGCAAAUAGCAAGUCAGGAUGGCACAUUCUCCCUGGUGGCACUGCCCCCCUCUGUCCCCUCUCAGACAACACCACCACAACAACAGCAGCAGCAGCAAACACAGUCAGUCCAGAAGAAUCUCAAACUGCCGAUCCCCAGGUACCAGCCAAUGAGGAGCAAGGGGAGUGUACCUAAGGUAAAGCCUCCAUCACCAGCCGUGAGGACGAAGGUGACUUGCAGCGAUGCCACUACAUCUCCGAUGAAGCCAGUGAGCCCAACCAGUAAGUUGUUGGUGAACACAGUGCCACCGACUACAGAGAUAAAACAGGAGUCAAAGUGCACUGAAACCAUAGUUCCCAAAGAGGAACCCACAGAGCAGCUAAUCCUCAUCAACCCAGGCUCCUCUGACAUCUCUGUAACAGCACUGCUUCCAGACAAUGCUGUCCUAUAUCCCAGCUCUCAACCGGAGCAGGCAACAGACCAGUCUGAACCACCAGCUUCAGGUGGUUUCAUACAGAAUUUCCAUUAUCAAUCCAGUUCUAUCAAAACCUCACCGAGUAAGUCUUCAGAAGACGGUAAGACCACUGCCAGUCUCUGCCAGUCUAAGCCCACUGUAGCACAGCCUCAGAGCAGCAUCACUCUCUUGUCUCCAGCCAUCUUCAGCAAAGCAGUUCAGAUUAUUCCAACGCCGCCCAAGGGGAAACUUCCCAUUAUGCCAUACUUGAAAAUGAAAAGUACUAUUGUCCCGGCUGCCAAGGUCGCAUCUAACAUCUCACCUGAGAAGAAAGGUUUGUCUUUUCAGACAGGACACGCAAGUUCCAUGAACACUGCAAACAACACCGUGGAGCCAGCCAAAAACAUGGGUCACAAUCAGGUAUCAAGCUCUGCUUUGCAGAACCAGGCCAAGACCACUGUUGUGCCUGUGUUUGGGAUUCUUCAGAAGCCUCCAAGUAAGAAGCGAGGUCGGAAGAGGAAGACAAUGGAGGACAUGCUGGCGUUUGAGGCCCGAAAAAAGCGAUCCUUGUCCUUCUUCCGAAGAAGGGUCCCUGAGAAGUCACCAGCAGUUGUUCCAGCCUCCAAGCAAAAGGAAGUGGAUAUUUCUAAAAAGUACCGCAGCAUCAGACCCAAGCCUAUUUUACUCAUGGAAACGGUUCCCCAGCUGGUUAGUUUGCCUGCGAUUACCUCAGAUGGCCAAGAACAGGAGCUUGUGCUUGGUCACCAGUUUUCCAAUACUCCCACAACCAAAUCUCCAGAUGGUCCUUCUCAGUCAGCGUCAGUAGCCCUCCAUCUAAGAGCUCCAUCUCAUCCGAGAAUGUUCGUGGGAAGCCGUCUCAUUCAUCACUGUCCGACCUGCAGUCGCUGUUUCCAGUUCAAGCAUCAUCUCCAGAGUCACAUGAACAGUCACACCAACAGUCGGCCCUACAUUUGUCUAGUGUGUCGCAAAGCCUACGCUCACUCUGGCAGCCUGAGCACACACAUGAAGCUUCAUCACUCUGAGGUGCGUCCACGUCGAUCUCUGUCCUGCGAAUUCUGUGAGAAGUCUUUUGGGUAUGUGGGUGUUUACUUUAGUCAUCUGAGGGAAGUCCACAAGGUGGUGCUGACCGUAGAGCCUUCCAUUAGCCAUCAUGAGGUUAAGGUUUCUCCUGAGGGUGACAGCGCACCAGAACCAUCAGAUGAGCAGGACUGCGAAGAUCCUGUGGAGCUGCAGAUCAAAUGUGGUCGCUGUCAGACAGUGACUCCCACAUUUGCCGACAUGAAGAUGCAUUUGCUCCACGUGCACAGGGUAAAGGUCCAUGUUGGACCUCCUGAAGGUUGGAAAGCCAGCGGUUGCCGCCAGGCAGAGAAGGAACUAGUAAAACAUGCUGCCCACUACUGGCGACAGCUCAACAAGAAACGCAACGUGGUGAAAUGCGGCAGUUGCGAUGAGGAGUUUUUCUCCUUCUCCAAGCUGGAGAAACACGUCAAGUCACACCACUGUGGGAAGGAGGACAUCGGUGGCACCGUCUCCUCCUCAGACUGUGGCGGAGGACUCGGUGUCCUCGCAGCAGGUUCUGCCUUCAACUGUGUUCUGUGCAGUAAAGUCAUGGACACUAAAGACGUGCUGAUGGAACACUGGAGGUGUUACCACCACUGUGAGCAACCAGACCUGCUGUGGGACGCUCUGAGCUCCUUCUCCGGUCAAGAGGAGUGUGAAGCAGACGGGGAGUUGGACACACCAGCUCCUAGUCCACACUGAACAGUCCAGCCUUUGAACGGUCACAGAGCCCUUUACUGUGGGUCCGACCCACAAGCUUUGUCCAAUCAUCAAUCGGCAGCACAGGGAGUAUUUCUUUUGCUUUUAGCAUCACUUCAUCUUCUUCUAGCUAAGGUUUGUAGCAUAGUCCAACGUGUGAGAAAUAUCAGUGGUGAAAUUCACUCUUCUCCAAUAAGUCAGAAUUUGUUUUCACGUGUGAUUGCACUAUUUUUAUUUUACUUUUCCUUUGGUUUUAAAGGUAUGUUAUACAUAUAUUUUUAGAAAUUGAUUUUUUUUCUGCAUAUACAAAAUGCCACAACAUUUCUUUACAAACUGUCAGACCCAGAAAACAUUUCCAGUAAAACUUUCCCUAUAAUACCCAGUCUACAUAUGUACACAACAUGUGUACUGCACAAAGACUGUUAAACAGCAGACAGCCAUGUUUGGUUGUGUUUAAGUGUCUCAGUAUAUAUAUAGUGUAUGUAAAAAAGAUAGAAACCACACUGUGGAAGUUGUCAUUAUAUGUCCUUUAAGUAUGAGCAAAGGUCGUCCUAUAUAAAAGAUACUAGAUAGGUUCAAAAAUAGCAAUGAUCUGGGAUCUUGAUGUGGCUCAGAAAAAAACUGUAACCAGUGUUUUUGGUAAUUUUUUAAAGUUAAAUACUCAUUUUUCCUUUUAAAAACAUUAGUAAAUUUUAAGAGUUAUUUAUAAAUGUAGCUCUGACUUUGUAUUUUUACACAUCACACUUUUGCAUUUGAAAAGGGAAAAGUAAUUUGGCUUGGUUUUAAGUCAACAGUUGGUGAACUCUUUGUGGCUUAAAUUCCACUGUGGUAUAAACAGUAUGUGGCAUUUUAAAUUGAACUGAUUUGAAGCUUGUACACAGUGAGGCUGUAUUUUUGUGAAAUGUAUUAUGUAGCUGUGGAAAGUAACUGGAUACAUUAAGUUACACUUUUAUUCCAGGAACUAUUGUCAAGGAAGUAAAUUGUGGAAAAAAGGGCCAACAAAACAAAAGAGCACAAAAAUGCCUUUGAUGUCUUAGUUGGUGCAGUGUUCAGAGUUAUCUGUGCUCCAAAAAAAAAAAAAAAAAUGGCGACAUGCUUAUUGCUGUAGCCUAAAUAACGGUACCACCAUCUCUUUAGUUCCUACGUUGAAAAAGCACAUAUACCUAGUCCUGGUACUGUCCUUGUUGAUGGAAGCACAUCACAUUAUUUCUUCUACAACAAACAUUAAAAAAGAAAAGGCACUUACUGAUUGGCCGUCUUCACCACCCUGUCAGUUCUUUUCUGGAGGGUCUUAUGUGUUAUUGUUAACCGCCACUGGCAGUGUAACAUGUAGAACCCUUACCAACAUUUUUGAGCCCUUCUAAAAAUAAGCAUUAUUUAUAUGUGAUGUGAAAGGCCCGGUGUGGUUCUCCGUAGGUCAGGUUUAGCUCCUCGGCUUGUUGAUUAAUGCCUGUAUGUGUAUUCUGUGUUAUGCCAAGGGUCUGUUCACACCCGUAAUUGUUGUGAUUUUUGCAUUUAAGCUUGUUCCUACUGACAGUAUACUGUUGGUUUAUAUAUAUAUAUAUAUAUAUAAAACCAUCAGAUGCCUACCUGUUGUUGCCAGCUCAUAUACACACCUGUGGAAUUGUGUGCAACCCAACUCUGUUGUUAGAGUUAUUAUGAACUUUGUUGUGGAGUCCAGAAAAAUAUGCUAUUUUAUAUUCUAGGUGGAUGCAGUUCCUUCAGUAUAUCUAUGCCUGUGGCUGGUACUUGGUUCCAGCGCCCCAGACAUUUGUUAUGUUUGCUUCUACAAAAGUUUGGGAUGCUUGUGUCGUAUUUCUGGGUUAGGUGGUCACACUGUAGCGAUAUUAGAAUCGACGUUUAUCUUUUAUAUGCAAAAAAAGAAAAGAAAUCACAGGGUAAAGUGAAUGUACCUGAAUGUUUGUUUUUUUUUAAAAACCACCAAAUGCAUAUUCUAUAUAGACUUCUAUAGAUAGUAUAUAUAGAUAUAUAUGAAUAUAUACUUAUAUGAGAAAAAAUAUAUAUAUUUACAUGGAGUAACUAGUGACAGCUGCUUUGUUCUAUUACAGGGAAAGAAUGAAACAGAGAUAAUAACACAGCACAAAAAUGUCAGGACUGGCAACAGAAGCCAUGCGGAGCUGUCCUUAUGUGUCGGACACAAACACAGGCCUGGGAACGAAGGGCAGACACUGAUGUGCACAUGUCACACUGAGCGGCUAAAGAUGCCGUUGACCUCGUCCUCACAGGCUCCCUUCCAGGAAGUGAAACCCGUUGCUGUCAUGAAAUUGGAAAAGACAUGAGUUUUACACGCAGGAAAUCAAAAUGAAUGUGGAGUCAGACCGAAUGAGAGUCACAUCCAUCAGCAGAGAUUCAGAGAAUGGAGUUAAUUGAUAUUCUUCCCUAAUAGGUAGGAGUAUGUGUGUGAGCGCGUGUGUGUGUGUCCAGAGUUAGGGUCAGCUAAGUGGGUUUGCCAGAGGGCUUUUAUUGAGCGCACAUAUGCCUCACCUCUGUGCUUCUCCCCUCCCCAAAGACCGUCCAUCUGUCGUCUACUGCAUCACAAAACAGUCCUUCAACGCAAACUCCUCUAGUUUUUACCUGAUCUGCAAUUAUCUCUUAUUAAAUAGACUAGAGUGGCAGCUCCAGGAGUCGACACCGAGCUGUAGAGAGACAAAAGAAACAUCUUUAUUCUGCAUGACUUUGGAUACGGUUCAAAAACAACCAGUUCAGUCAUUCUUUACUGUUACUCUACGCUGUACCCUCAGUGGCAAACACUGUUGUCUAUCAAGUAUGGGCUAGGCUCUAAUACAGACAUUUGGUUGGUGGCCAGGUAAUGAGAAAUUUGUUGGAAUCACAGUUCAAUCGAAAUGGCAAGAGGAACUCACUUAUGUAUGUCAAGUCAAUAUACUGUAUAUGCAGCACCAAGUAUUAAUGUACACUUUUUACAGAUUAGACUAAGAGUUAGGCUAUGUGUAAUAUUGAUGGCACACAGUGGGGGGAGCUAGAGAGUCUGUUGGCCCCUGGGCAGGAAGUACUUCCUGUGGUCAUCUGUGGUGCAGCUGAUUGAAAAAGUCUGUUGCUGUUGGUUUGCAUAGACAUGUUGUAGUGAUUCCCAACCACUGGGCCGUGGCCCACCAGUGUGCCGCGAAAGAUCAUUAGGUGUACCAUGGAAAAUGAUCUGAUUUGACUUAAUUGGGUUGAAAACUAUUAUUUAUUUAUUGCUCAUCAAAGCAUGAAGCUCAUGAAAGGCAGAACAAUUACUACUUAAAUACUCUCCUGCUAGGUGGCAGCAGAUGGCUAUGAAAACUAUAAAAAAGAUAUUUGUGGGUGUCUUUCUUCAAUUUCUGCCAGUAUAUCAGUGUUGUCUUCAACUAAACAGGCCGAGAUUUUAAUCAAUUAUGAGGUUUUCUGAAGGGAUAAUUACACAGUGAAGAAUGCACUUUUUGUUUCCUUGCGACCACAACCAAACAUCCUGUGCUAAGAUCCAGACCCGGCCCGGCUCGUCAUCGUCACACCCGUGUAGAAUGCAGGUCUUUGGUUCUAAUUGAUUUGAAGGUACACAGGUCAAAGGGCAUUUCUACUGUGAUUUUUUUUCACUGCUUUGAGUCAAACAAGCAACAACUCCCUUUCUUCCUCCUGACACUGAACAACCUCAACCUGCACAACUUCUGCCAACUACUCUGCAGGCUCUCUGAGGUUUCAGAUAAGACUGAGUCAACUUCAGGUGGCUUUUAGCUCCGACAGAACACAGAAAAAAGAGCUGCAACAUCAGUACAUAUCAGGCCCAAUCGCGUGUCACCAUUGCACCACAUCGCAGCCACAGAUAAAAAGCGAAGCCCUAUACAGUGAUGCAUAUUUCCCUUUAAUCAGAGCUAACGUGUAGCACAGUCGUCACACAGCACUCCCACCUCGCUGAGGCUCUCAGGGGGAGAGGAGAGAUCAAAAACACACUCCUGCUUGUACAUGAUCAGUGGAAAAGAAAGAGAACUGGAGGCUGCUCUUUCUUUCUUCUUCCUUGCUUUCUUGCUUUCCACAGGUCUUUGACGUGCUCCCCUCGACAAGACAAGACAAGGUCCUGGAACUGUAUUGUAAAUCCACUACAUCAGGAACAGGACGAUGAGGCUCUCUACCAGUCACAGAGUAACGAGUGUCUUCAAACCAUGCCGUUGUUAAUUAUUGUUCCCUCACACAGCUCCAAACACAGUCCUGAAUGUUACACCAAGCUGUUGUUGAGAACGUUCUGGAUUGACUUUGGACCUGAAAUGUGGAUAGAACCACGGUUCCAUCCCUGGUCCUUGUUUAUAGAGUUUACAUGUUCUAUCUGUGUGUGUGUUUUUUCCCACAAAAUGAUUACGAGGUUAACUGAACUGUCUACAUCAACCACAGGUAUGUAUGUGGAUGUGUGUAGUUGUUGGUCUGAUGUGGCCUUGUGAUUGGCUGGUGAAGUGUUAUGGUUGACCCCAUUAGGACUGGCUACCACUUCCACUUUGAAUAAAGCAGAAGGACAACAGGAAGUUAUGAGUAAAAAAGUAACAAUAACACAUACAGAAAAACCCUGUAUACCCUGCAGUAUAAGAAAGUCCUGGGUGAUGUUUCUGGAAACUUCUUUGUUCUACCUUGUACUGCAUAUGUUCAUUUGAUAAAACUCCUAGAGAAUGUUUUCGUAACCUUUCCUUUCUUGUUUCACGCAGACUGGAAACUUGACGCCAAGAAUCACACUCGGCACCUCAAAUAACCAAAGUGGCGUCUUAUGUGGAAAGCACGAGGAAAGAUUUAUGGGGCGGUAAAAAUGCGACCCACCUAGAUUAGAAAGGUCUCUCGAUCAACUUAGCUGGGGGUGUAAUGAGAGUACGACCCGCCCUUCGCUCUCCCACUCCUGCCUCCUGGCUUUGCAGUGGUCAAGCGGUAUCUGAUGCCACUCUGUCUGUGCACACUAACACCCAUGAAGCCCAUGUCAGCAUGUGCACCAUGAUGCUGAAGCAUGCGUCCACUCAUCAAACUUGGAGAUCUGAUCUGCCUUCCCCUUCCUUCCCCUGCUGCCUCUCGGUCUCAGGUGUCCCAUCUGCCCCCACCCUCCCAGAUUAGUCAUCUAAUGAAGCAGAGCUGAUCAGGUUAAUAAUUGAUGGCGAGCGGCUAGAGAGAGGCUUCGAUCUGAGCCAGGCUGUGGCUCUAAAUGGAACGGAGGAGCAGACACCUCAGGAGGAUAUGCAGAUGCAGAUGAGGCAAAGAAGGAUGUUUUCCAGAAUUCUACAGGAAAGGAGCUCCAGCUCACCACCCUCUGUCUCAAUCAUACGGACAGAUAAACGGAUGAACUCAACUUGUACAUCUUCAUACAGCCAGUGUGUGAAGGCUUUAGGUCAAAACCUGACUCUGACAUUUCUGCCAAUCCUGGGUAUGUGAAUGAAGUCAUGUCUCCAAGGAUAACUGGGAGUUGACAUUGAAAAUUAAAAAGAAAAAAAAGGAAUUCGCGGAGAACAGAGAGCAUCUUUCUGCAGUCAUCGUGGCUCCAGGGAAUGUGAGGAGAUAACUGGAUGAUAAUGCUGUUCUCUGCCUUUAGGGAAUUACGUCUGCAUGAUCAGUAACCUACAUUUACUGAGCAGGCGUACAAAUAAGGGCUACAGCUGGAAGUCGUCAGCGAGCCAGAGCUUCAAGAACCAUAUUUCAACGUCAGCAGAAGUAGAAUAACCCCUGACCUUCGACGUUCAACUGUUGAAGUAAAUGCUCAUGUAUCAGACAUUUUACUGAGGAGAAAACAACAGACCUGCGACCCAGGGCUGGUACGUAGGAGGGCACAUCAGCAGAAGAAGAAGAAGAAGAAAUAAACCUGGGCAGGAGCUUCUUAAGGAUCGGUCAGAGGUCCACAGACCAAUGACAGGAGGAUCAACAUGGAGAGACCAGACCAACACCAUGAAUGGAGACUGUUCAGCUGUUGUCUGAGAUAACACGCUCUUAGAAACUGAGAAGAACUUCAACACCUCCCAAAAGGAUUCGAUUCGGCAGGAGGUGAAAAAUGCGGAGGGCGGUAUAUUCAGUCUCUUCGGCUUUGAGUCAGUGCUGAGGGUGAAUUGGUUGUAAAGAAUACAGGAAGCUGUCAACGGGCUUUACAGGACCAAAUUCAAUGUGAAUGGGAACAGGAUUAAAAUCAUAUAUUCAAUUGUGGCUCCUGGUAAAGAGAAUUCUCCUAAGAUGACUUCAACACCCUUGUCGGGCUAAAUUAGAGGCAACCGUUGGAUUAAAGAUGGUUCAGAUUCCAGCGCAAACAAACAAAAGAGGAAUUACAAACCAGGUUUCAAACUCUCCUCUGAUUCAAGCUCAGCGCUACAAUAGCCCCUUCAUCGGUACUUUCUUCCAGAGGUAGACUGAAUACCUUUUGGCUACAAGUCACAGAAGCAGAGGUGGUCUGGGAGGGAGUGUAAAUCAAAGAAGGAGGGAUCAGAGGAAUAGAACUUGUGUCUCUGGGCCUGACGUGGAACCGCCUCUGUGAUGUGAGAGAGAGGAGGAAAAUUCACAAGACGUUGAAGGAGGUGGCGUCGAAGGGACUGCAAUCAAAACUCCAUCAGCGUCUGUGGAGCUGAGACCAAUAUGUUUCAGCCUGUUCCUUUAAUCUGGGCCAGGAAAAAUGACUUUACUUCUCUAAGAUGGUGAUGAUGAGCCAGUUUACCUACAGUACUCUGCCUUUUUUUAACUUAAGUGGAACACCAGUGCAGGGAUUUUUGAAAAAAUGGAUUUCAUCCACAGAACAAAAUGCUCAUCUACUGACACCUACAUUUGCUGAAGUUUAUAUCAACCAGUGUGCUUGAUGGUUUGAAACUCCAUACACUGGCUGACUUGUCCUGGCCUGUCCUAGGAGGAGGAAAGAGGAGACGGCUGGAGGAGAGUGAUGCUCUUUAGACGGAGUAUCAUUUAUCGCUGAGCAAAGGAGGCAGACUGUGACAAAUGCUGCUCCCGAGCAGAGCUGUGUAGUCCGGCGAAAGAUGCUGAUGAAAGGAAGGGAGAGAAAGUGAGGUGUGGAGCCAAAAAAAUUGGAAAAGAAAAGAAAAAACCGGGCCGUGCUUGUUUGUGUUUCUUCCCGGUGACUCUGCACUCUUCAUUAAUGCACGGCAAUUUACUCGUGGGUGUGGAGUCACAGCAUCAAGUCAAGAACAGUAUGAUCAAACACCAGCGCUGGUGCUAGCCAACUCACAGAGGCAGCCUUUUUGUUUUUCCUCAAUAUUCUUUUUCCUGCCAGGCUUUAUGUCAAAAGGAAGAAAGGCAAAGGUUCUUAUAUGGAGGAGAGAAAAGCAGGGGCCUCGCACGUUAACACGCUCCAUUCUGUGCAGCAGUGAAGAAGAGGAGGAGGAGGAGUAUUCCCGUCGCUUCCACUGAGGAAUGUUAACAGGUGUUGGCUCCGCUUUAAUUCUGCAAGAAGUGUAACGGGACAAAAGAACAACUGGCUGAAGCAUCUGUUCUCUGCCCAGUGGGGAAACUGGAUCCUGGGCCAAAAUCACCCCUGAGACCCAAAAAACAGAGAGCUACUUUUCCCUCUGCCUGCUGUUUAUCACAGCUGAAGAUGUUUAGCUACAGUUUUCAGUAACUGUGGAAUAGUCCAAAUAAAU